rnacentral:rRNA from 1 species
UACGUAGGGGGCAAGCGUUGUCCGGAUUUAUUGGGCGUAAAGAGCGUGUAGGCGGCCAUACAGGUCCGUUGUGAAAACUCGAGGCUCAACCUCGAGACGUCGAUGGAAACCGUAUGGCUAGAGUCCGGAAGAGGAGAGUGGAAUUCCUGGUGUAGCGGUGAAAUGCGCAGAUAUCAGGAAGAACACCCGUGGCGAAGGCGGCUCUCUGGGCCGAUACUGACGCUGAGGAGCGAAAGCGUGGGGAGCGAACAGG